rnacentral:tRNA from 1 species
GGCGGCGUAGCUCAGUUUGGAUAGAGCGUGGGAUUCAUAAACCCAAGGUCCCCGGUUCGAGCCCGGGCGCCGCUA